rnacentral:rRNA from 1 species
UUUAACAACGGAUCUCUUGUUCUGCAUCGAUGAAGAACCACGAAAUGAUAAGUAAUUGAAUUGCAGAAUUCAGUGAAUCAUCGAAUCUUUGAACCACAUUGCGCCGCCAGCAUUCU